ensembl:lncRNA
UCAUGCCUUCUAUUCUCCUCUCAUCUGAAGUCAGAUUUGUGUGUGUGUGUGUGCGUUUUGUGUGUGUGUGUGUGCGCAUACAUAUUUCUCCACAGUCAUCAGUGUGUUUUCCACUCCCUCUGUAGGUACGUUCAGUGGGCUGCGUAUCGGAGAAGUACAGUCUGUCAGAGAGCUGUCCAGACCAGAGUUCGUCAUACACCCUCACCGCUACUUCAACCAUAGCGCCAAAACCAGCCCAAUAUUCACACCCCUACCUGCCAACACUGAGGUGGUGAAGGCUGCCUUUGACCAGCGGAGUCUGUUCCCUAAAGAGCUUCUGGAUGAGGAGGACAGGCCUAGCCAUGGAGCCAGGAAACAGGGGAGCAGGGAGAACCGGAUCAACGACAGGGGGCGUGGGAGGAAGGACAGACAAAGAAAGGGUAGUUCCUCUGGAGCCUUCAAGUGAAGACGUCAUUUAUAUUGUUAUCUACUUUAUCACGUUUCAAUAUAACUUAAAUGUCUGUCAAAUUAAAUCUGAUCAAUCAAGACACGAGUGUGUUUAUGUCUCUCUGCUUCCCCUCAUGAGAAAGUACUACUAAAUUACUACUACAUUACUACUACAUUACUAUUACAGUACUACUACAGUACUACUACAUUACUACUACAGUACUACUACAGUACUACUACAUUACUACUACAGUACUACUACAGUACUACUACAGUACUACUACAUUACUACUACAUUACUACUAAAUUACUACCACAUUUGCUACUACUACUUGAUUGCUAUUGAGAUGUGUGGUAAACCAGUAUUGAUUUAUGUAGUAAUUAGUGAUAAAUUUCACUACUUGUGAGCACUUGAUAUUUCCUACUCAAUUCUGGCGUGUUCACUAUCGAAUUACAACCAAAUGCCUAUAUAUUUCUACUGUAUCCCUUCUGCCAUUUACCUGUGUAGUGUCAGUACUGAUCACUACUGCCAUUUACCUGUGUAGUGUCAGUACUGAUCACUACUGCCAUUUACCUGUGUAGUGUCAGUACUGAUCACUACUGCCAUUUACCUGUGUAGUGUCAGUACUGAUCACUACUGCCAUUUACCUGUGUAGUGUCAGUACUGAUCACUACUGCCAUUUACCUGUGUAGUGUCAGUACUGAUCACUACUGCCAUUUACCUGUGUAGUGUCAGUACUGAUCACUACUGCCAUUUACCUGUGUAGUGUCAGUACUGAUCACUACUGCCAUUUACCUGUGUAGUGUCAGUACUGAUCACUACUGAGUUGUUCCUGAUCCUUUUUCAUUUCCUACAUUAAACUUUUUGAAUUACUAUUGAACAUGGACACAUUUACUACUGGUUGCCUAUUCAGAAUCACUUUUUAAAAUUGUAUUUUUUAUUUUAUUUAACUAGGAAAGUCAGUUAAGAACAAAUUCUUAUUUUCAAUGACGGCCUAGGAACAGUGGGUUAACUGCCUGUUCAGGGGCAGAACGACAGAUAUUUACCUCGUCGGCUUGGGGAAUUGAUCCAGCAACCUUUCGGUUACAAGUCCAACUCUCUAACCACUAGGCUAUUUAUCUUAAAUCACUAACCUGUCACUACUAGACUAAUGCACAUGUUCUUUCCUCAAGUUUCUAACUGUAGUUAUAUAAUCAAACAGGAAAUAGUACUCGUACAGACUAAAUUAAACGUGCCUGUUUAUAUAAUGAAUAAGAGUUUUGGGGGCUAAAAGUAAUGAAAUAUUAAAGCUUUAAACCUCUCUCUAAAAGCUUCACUCACACAUAAAUGAUCCUUAAACCCAAAAUGGUUCUCCAGUAGAAAGACUCAUCCGUUGUGCCUUUCUAUGGAUUACACCUUCUCACUUCCGACUAAUUGAAAAUGACAUUUUGUUAAAAGUAUCACCCCCUGUUUUUAACAAGCCAUUCAAAACUGCUUCCAAUUUCAGUUUUUAUUCUCCUUGAAAAUAUAGAACAAAUAUUACAUCAAAUGUAAUGGUUAAACUCAAAUAUACUGAUUCAUUAAAAAUUAAAAAACAC